rnacentral:tmRNA from 1 species
GGGGGCGACCUGGUUUCGACGUGGGUCGCGAAACCCUGGGUGCAUGCCGAGGCGCAGACCACCUCGUAAAUCCAGCUGCAAACCAAUAGUUGCGAACGACGCAAACUACGCUCUCGCUGCUUAAAAACCAGCCUUGAGCCCUCGGCCUGAAUCCGUGCCUGUGCGGGGGCAGACGCCGGGGUCAUCAAUCACAGGAUCGCGCGAGGGCUCGUCCGGGGCCCAACCGUUAAAACCUAACCGGACUGGCUGUCGGUCUUCCCCGUUCGCCGGGUAGCCGCCAGUAAGAUCAAAGGCGGAAUAAGCAUGUAGAGCUCAUGGCGUAGGGCUUGCGGACGCGGGUUCGAUUCCCGCCGCCUCCACCA